rnacentral:rRNA from 1 species
AUUGAACGCUGGCGGCAGGCCUAACACAUGCAAGUCGAGCGGAUGAAGGGAGCUUGCUCCUGGAUUCAGCGGCGGACGGGUGAGUAAUGCCUAGGAAUCUGCCUGGUAGUGGGGGAUAACGUCCGGAAACGGGCGCUAAUACCGCAUACGUCCUGAGGGAGAAAGUGGGGGAUCUUCGGACCUCACGCUAUCAGAUGAGCCUAGGUCGGAUUAGCUAGUUGGUGGGGUAAAGGCCUACCAAGGCGACGAUCCGUAACUGGUCUGAGAGGAUGAUCAGUCACACUGGAACUGAGACACGGUCCAGACUCCUACGGGAGGCAGCAGUGGGGAAUAUUGGGCAAUGGGCGAAAGCCUGAUCCAGCCAUGCCGCGUGUGUGAAGAAGGUCUUCGGAUUGUAAAGCACUUUAAGUUGGGAGGAAGGGCAGUAAGUUAAUACCUUGCUGUUUUGGCGUUACCAACAGAAUAAGCACCGGCUAACUUCGUG